rnacentral:tRNA from 1 species
GGAGAGGUGGCUGAGUGGCCGAAAGCAGACGCCUGCUAAGCGUUUGAGCCUCCAAAAGGGGCUCCCUGGGUUCAAAUCCCAGCCUCUCCG